GACAGUUCUCAGGUGACGCACCCCAGAAUCAGGCUCCUUCCUCUCUGGUGGUGGGUGCAUCACCCGAGAACCACA
rfam:Myotis lucifugus cont2.321, whole genome shotgun sequence.